rnacentral:rRNA from 1 species
UCAUCGUCUCGCCGGACACGAACAACAAGCGGUGGAUGGAAGCGGUGCCUGUGUUGUGUCGUGGUUGCCCGGGAGAAGAUUAUAAGUUCGAGGUGAUCCCAGCCCAUGCGUCGGCCCACGGGCGGCGGCUUGGAAU